ensembl:snRNA
GCUUUCCUUGUCAUGGGGUGGUUUGGGAAACUCAAUGAACGUUUAGUGAGAGUUCCCCUGCUGACACCAUAGUCAACACAUACGCACCGCCUGAGCCCCCACGCUCAGACUCUGGUGCAAUUUUUGGAAAC